rnacentral:rRNA from 1 species
ACGGGAGGCAGCAGUGGGGAAUAUUGCACAGUGGGGGAAACCCUGAUGCAGCAACGCCGCGUGAAGGAAGACGGUCUUCGGAUUGUAAACUUUUGUUCUUAGUGAAGAUAAUGACGGUAGCUAAGGAGAAAGCCACGGCUAACUACGUGCCAGCAGCCGCGGUAAUACGUAGGUGGCAAGCGUUGUCCGGAAUUACUGGGUGUAAAGGGAGCGCAGGCGGGAAAUCAAGUUGGAUGUGAAAUGUCGGGGCUCAACCCCGGAACUGCAUCCAAAACUGAUUUUCUUGAGUGAAGUAGAGGUAGGCGGAAUUCCGAGUGUAGCGGUGAAAUGCGUAGAUAUUCGGAGGAACACCAGUGGCGAAGGCGGCCUACUGGGCUUUAACUGACGCUGAGGCUCGAAAGUGUGGGGAGCAAACAGGAUUAGAUACCCUGGUA